rnacentral:tRNA from 1 species
AGCUUUAUAUUCAAUGAAUGAUUGUAGAAUGCAAUUCUGCAGAAGUGAAAUUUUAUUAUUCACUAAGGCUU